UACAGAGGUCUCGAAGCGUUGUUCGGAUUCAUUGGGCGUAAAGGGUGCGUAGGCGGCGCGGUAAGUCGGGUGUGAAAUCUCGGGAGCUUAACUCCGAAACUGCAUUCGAUACUGCCGUGCUUGAGGACUGGAGAGGAGACUGGAAUUUACGGUGUAGCGGUGAAAUGCGUAGAUAUCGUAAGGAAGACCAGUGGCGAAGGCGGGUCUCUGGACAGUUCCUGACGCUGAGGCACGAAGGUCAGGGGAGCAAACGGG
rnacentral:rRNA from 1 species